GCCUGGGAGCAUGUUUCUUCGAGUGGCGCCUCCACCCGCCUGGGCGUGCGCCUCGCGCGCACAUCCGAUCGUGUCUGCCGUGGACUUAGUGCUGCGCCAGAUCAAGGCUCGAGCGUCGCCUGAGGGCAGCGUUGCACGGGAGGAUCCUCGGAUCUGACGUGU
rnacentral:rRNA from 1 species